ensembl:misc_RNA Metazoa_SRP Metazoan signal recognition particle RNA
GCCGGGCGCGGUGGCGCGAGCCUGUAAUCCAGCUACUCCGGAGGCUGAGGCUGGCGGAUCGCUUCAGCUCAGGAAGAACGGGCUGCAGUGGGCUAUGCCGAUCGGGUGUCCGCACUAAGUUCGGCAUCAAUAUGGUGAUCCCCGGGGAGCCGAGGGCCACCAGGUUGCCUAAGGAGGGGUGAACCGGCCCAGGUCGGAGACGGAGCAGGUCAAAAUACAUUUUUAAAUACAUUUGAAAUAAGUCAAUAUUUGAAUGGAGGAGCUAUAUUCACCAUUU